CUCGCGGUAGUCCUCGGCCGAGAAGCCGUACUUCCUCCGGAACUCGCCGCGCUUCUGGGCCAGCAGCCGCUGGCGGCCGCGCUCCGCCUCGGACUCGAGCGCGUCGAAGACGGCGGCGCCCACCAGCAGCUUAAAUAUCUGCUGAGCGUCCACACCAUGAUUGAGGAGCUGAGGUUACAGAGAUAAAUCUGAUUUAGUUCCUGCCCCAGGGAGCUUCAAGGUCAAGUGUCUCUGUUUGUGGGAGCAGGGGCCACAUGAGCCCAGUCACACCGCUCUAUCCCCGCACCCAGCACGGAGGCCGGCACCCACUCGGCUGCGGAACCAGUAGACAAACACCUGAUCCUUCGAGCCUGGAAGGCGGCAGGCCCUGAGCCCAGAGCUCUGCGUGCAUGACACCCUUCCAGCUCCUCAGCACCCGGAUGGAGUCGGUCGUGUCAGUCUUUCUGCAUUCGGAGAAGCAAACAGAGGCUCAGCGAGGCCAGCCCAAGGUCCCACAGCUGGAGUUACCUCUACAACCUUCUUCAAAGAAGACUGGCCACCAGUCUUUGCUUGUACUUUCCCAGGACCGGGGAACUCAUCACCUCCCAGGACAGCCUACUCCGUUAUGGAUCAGUGCAAAAAAGUUUUGCUUUUAUAAAGUCUGGCGUACGAUCCUUGCACUCUUGCCCCAUCUGCCUGCUGAAUGGAGAAGACUCCGGGGCUGAGGAAGGCAGAGUCACAAGACAGGAAGAGUCUCAAUCCCUAAAUGGCUGCAGAGAGCACAGUCCUCCUGCCAAGACUUCUCAUACUGGCAUGGGAGGAAAAAUCAGACAUUUGUGGUGGAAAGCUACUGAAAUCUUGGAGGUUGAAGGAAUCCACUUUCCUCCCCCGCAUUUAGGUUCAGGGAGGGGAGCUCACUUGUCCAGCGGACCGGGCUAGAAAGUUGUGGAAUCGAGAUGCUAACGUCGGGCCUCUUCAUCCACCCUGCAAGUGCCCCUCCCCAUGCUGAGGCCACAGAAGCAGCCUGAGCAAACCCCACUCAGCUCCUUCCUCACAACAGCCAGUGGCCAAGGAGCGAGGGUGUGGCUCCCUCGCAGGCUCGGGAUCAGGGUCACUGCUCUGUGCGGAAUCUGGUCUCUGCUGCCCAGAACUGCAUCUCCUGAUGCCUGGAAUUCCACCAUGAGUGACUCAUGCCUUUGGGAAAUCAUUGCCCGCACCCCACUGAGUAACAGCAAUAACAGCCCCUCGUGGCUUCCCUUCACAGAGAGCGUUCUCACUACACCGUCUCACUGGGUCUCAGCAUGCUACUGUGAGGAAAGUUUGAAUCAGAUGCAGAAAGCAAUGUGUCCAAAGCGACACAGCAAGUUAAUGGUGGAGCCCGGGGUCCUCGAGUCUCCUGGCUUCUUGGUCAGUGCAUGUAUCCCCCCAACAACUUUGCUUAAAAAUGCUGCUCUGGAUAUCCGUGCACCCAUAUUUAUAGCAUUACUCCCAACGGCCAAAAGGUGGAAGCAGCCCAAGUGUCCGUGGAUGGAUGAAUGGAGAAGCAGAAUGUGGUCUCUACGUGCAAUGGAAUAGUAUUCAGCCUUAAAAAGGGAGGACAUUCUGAGCCAGGCUACGACAUGGACGAACCAUGAGGACGUUCUGCUGAGUGAAGGACGCCAGCCACAAGAGGACCAAUACUGUGUGAUUCCACUUAUGUGAGGUACUUAGAGCAGGCAGGUUCAUAGAGACAGAAAGUAGAAGGGCGGUGGCCCGGGGCUGGGGGAGGGGAAUGAGAAGUCCGUGUUUAAUGGGAACAGAGUCUGAGCUUCUCAGGAUGAAGAGAGCUCUUGGGAUGGAUGGUGGCAAUGGUAGCAUAACCUGGCAAUGUGCUUAAUGCCAUGGGACUGGACAUUUUAAAAUGUUAAGGUGGAGGGUGCCUGGGUGGCUCAGACGGUUAAGCAUCUGCCUUCGGCUCAGGUCAUGAUCCCAGGGUCCUGGGAUCAAGUCCCACAUCGGGCUCCCUGCUCCUUGGAAGCCUGCUUCUCCCUCUGCUUCUUUCUCUCUCUCUCUGUCCCUCAUGAAUAAAUAAAUAUAUAAAAUCUUUAAAAAAAUAAAAUAAAAUAAAAUAAAAUAAUAAAAUGUUAAGGUGGAAAAUUUUAUGUUUAUGUAUUUUGGCAAAAUUUAAAAGUUACAGUUUUUAGGGGUGCCUGGGUGGCUCAGUCAGUUGAGUGUCUGACUCUUGAUUUCAGCUCAGGUCAUGAUCUUGGGGUCAUAGGAUCGAGCCCCACGUCAGGCUCUGUGGUCUGUGGGGAGUCUGCUUGUCUUCCUCUGCCCCUGCCCCAACUCUCUCUCUCUCUCAAAUGAAUAAACAAAUCUUUUUUUUAAAUUUAAAAAUCAUAGUUUUUUAAAGAAGUGCUGCUUCUGAGAGGAAUAUGGGGAGGUCUUAACCUUUUUAGGACAUGUAACUUAGUUUAUCAUGACUUAUAUCAGUCAAGAUAGGCUAAGUCAUGCUGCUGUAACAAACAGCCCCCAAAUCUGACUUUUGAGUCAAACACUCACUGCACAUUACUGCCUUACACACUAUACCCUGUGCCUCCUGGAACACUCUUCCUCACUAUUCUAAACAUCUCCCUGUUCUGUCUGCAGCCCAGGCCCAAGAUAAGGCAAUGGAAUCGGUCAGAUUCACCCUUGGCUGGCUAUGUGGCUGUGGGUAAGCCAGUUAACCUCUCAAAGCCUCAGUUUACUCAUCUGGGAAAUGGGGACAAUAACAGAAGGUAUCUUGAGGAGCAUUUCACAUGGCUUAAGGCAUGUUGUCAGGCUGUGGGUAUAUUUAAGCCUUGUGCAGAGUUUGGCACCCAGGCACGAAUGGGGUAGGCUUUAGUCUCCUGCCAGCCAGGCCCUCAGCUUGACCAAUCCCAGGAGAAAUACCUUCUUCCAGCCAGCCUUGCGUCAGGGCUGGGGAAUGGGUGGGACGGGAGCCAGAGGCUGCAGAGACAGUUGUCUCGAGCCUGAAAUACUUUUCUCCCCAAUAAUCUGUUUUCAAUCUCUCAUUCUUCUUCUGCCCUCUUUUUCAAACCCAUCCUGCCAAGGAACAAGCAUGUAAGUGUGCGUCAGUCCCGGGCCUGGCCAACAUCCCACCCUUUGGGAAUUUCUGCUUUAAAAGGUAGGGCAUGGGACCGUUUAAUACACCAUGUGUGUUCCAGCCUCCACACCUUUGCAUGUGUUGUUCCUCCGCCCUGCCGUGCCUUUCCCUGUCUCCUGGGUCUAUUCCGACUCUGCUCAUCAGCUGUCCUGCCACAGCUCCUUUGAUGGCUCCCGCAGCCCCUGUUAACACAUCUCCCCAGGUCUGCCCGCAUGUGUUGAUUUCUUGUAGCCUCUAGUUACCUAGUGCUUUUGAGGGCACAGAGAGUGUCGUCCAGUUCUUUGCAAAAUCUGAGGCUUUCUUGGACGAAGAGUGCUUUCAUCACCACCAUGUCAAGGGGAGGCAAUUAUGAUUGUCAUAUCUCCGUUUUACAGAUGAGGAAAUGGAGUUCCUGGGAGCAAAAGUGAGUGGUCGCGGGCGCCUGGGUGGCUCAGACGGUUAAGCGUCUGCCUUCGGCUCAGGUCAUGAUCCCAGGGUCCUGGGAUCGAGGCCCGCCUCGGGCUCCCUGCUCCGCGGGGAGCCUGCUUCUCCCUCUCCCCCUGCCUGCUGCUUCCCCCGCUUGUACACUGUCUCUCUCUGUCAAAAAUAAAUAAAAUCUUAAAAAAAAAAAGUGAGUGGUCGCACAGAGGGGGAGUCAGGACCUCUAACCCUGAGAAGAGAGGCUCUCGCUAAGCCCCCCCACUGGGCUGAGCGCACAGGAGGCGUGUGUCUCCAUGUGCAUCAGCAAGGAGGGGAGCAGGUGUGGCUGAGACAGGUAACCCUGCCUUACGCAGUGUUCUUUCUGGACACGCAGCUGGCCUACAUUUCCCAGCCUCCCUUGCAAGGGAAGCAAGGCCUUUUUGGUAGACUGGUUAUGGAAGUGGAUCCAAUUCUCCAUUCCUGUUGUUCCCAUGCCCCUUUGCAAUGUGACUUUGACCUAGCUCCCCUAUUCCCCUUUUUCCUUCAAAUAUGGGUUGGCCUUGGAUCUCUCUUUGGUCAAUAGAAUGUGACAGAAGCAACCUUGUACUAGUUCUGAACGUGGCCUUAAGAGAUUUUUCACCUUCUCUCUCUCUCUCUCUCUCUCUCUCUGCUUCCUCUGCUUCCUUCCUGGACAAUAGGAGAACACAUGGAAUGGACCCGUGUUAUCUUGACAGCUUUUAGGUAACGACAGUUCUACCAUUUUCAGUCACAAACAUCGUCUCCACUCAAAUUUUCAAUGUCCAGUCAAGAUAUUCAGGGGAACUGCCAAUCUGAUUUGGGUUUAGACCUUCUCCCCCUGCUUCUUCCCUGUAGUGGGGAAGGCAGAAGGUGGGAAGGGGGGCUCCUUCUCCAUUCCUCCUCCCUGCCCCUGCACGUGGGGCCGAGGGGGCUAGGCGGAGGCUGUCAGGGGAGAAGAAAGAUGUUACCAGAGCGACUGCCAUCCUGGCUGGCUUCCAGUGCUCUAGCGGCAGAUAUUUCAAGCUGCCCCUUUUCCAUCACGGGAUGGUGUUGUGGGCUCCAUGAAUUUGGCCAUUGCUGCAGGCUCCUCUCACCCUUGGUGGAUGCACCUCUCCUCCUGGGGGUCACUUGCCACUCCUUGCUCAGCCCUAGGAAUCCCACUUCCAUCUCCAACUUCUUGGGGUAGGACCCAAGAUGACCCCCUGCCAGGUCUCCCCACCCCAGCCCCAUCUGUUCCAGAAACCCUCCCAGGUCCCCAGCCGAGCAUCUGGAUGUGCAGUCUCUGUUUGGCCUUCUCAGGUUGGGGGGUGGGGUCCCUCAAGCCUCUCUUUCUAUGCAGUACCUCACCCUUUCUCUAAGUGAUGAGGUGAAUACUGGGGAGACGUGUCCCGUCCGCGUCCUUUGUGACUCCUUUGUACAUGGUGACCUGGUCUAGAAUGUCACUUCUGUCCUAUCUCCACAUCUUCUGUUUAACAUGUUGAUAUAUUUAAGCAAAUGGAAACGCUCCUUACACUCUGUUCUCCCCUUGACUUUUAUUACCCACUGUAUCUCAAAUACUUUUCUUACCUUUCCUUAUAGACACCUCCCUUUUUAGAAGUUUUAAUUGUGUGGCGCCUGGGUGGCUCAGUCGUUAAGCGUCUGCCUUCGGCUCAGGUCAUGAUCCCAGGGUCCUGGGAUCGAGCCCCGCAUCGGGCUCCCUGCUCUGCGGGGAGCCUGCUUCUCCCUCUCCCUCUGCCUGCCGCUCUGCCUACUUGUGCUCUCUCUCUCUUUAAUUAAAUAAAUAAAAUCUUUUUUAAAAAAGGAGUUUUAAUUGUGGUAAAAUAUGCAUGCAUAAUAUAAAAUUUGCCAUUUUAACCAUUUUUCAGUGUACGGUCAGUGGUACUAAGUACAUUCACAUUGCUGUGCCACCAUCACCAUCAUCCGUCCCCAGAAGUCUUCUCAUCUUGUAAAACUGAGACUGUAGGCUUUGAACAACUCGCCCUGUGCCUCCCCACCCCGGCCCUGGUGCCCACCCUUCUGCUUCCUGUGUCCGUGACAUUCCUCGCCCUGGGUGUCCUAUGACUGGCUUGUCUCACUGAGCACAAUGAGCUCAAGCUUCAUCCAUGCUGUAGUCUGGGUCAGAAUUGUCUUCCCUUGUACGGCCGAAUAGUGUUGGGUGAUUAUAUAAACAUGCUGCUCGUUUAUCCACGACCGGACACCUCAGGUUAUGGCUCCUAGAAUCACGCUGUUAAGAACAUGGCUGUACAAAUAUCCGCUCUAGACCCCACUUCGGAUUCUUUCAGGUAUUCACCUCGAAGUGGAAUUGUUGAAUGAUACAGGUGAUUCUAUUUUUAAUUUUUUGAGGAGCUGCCAUGCUGUUUUCCAUAGCAGCGACUCCAUUUUCUGUCCCACCAGCAGGGCACAAACGUUCCAUUUCUCCCCAUCCUCGCCAGCACUUGGUAUUUUCCCUGUUUUGACUGGAGCCAGCCUCGUGGUGUGAGUCGAUGAGGACACGAGGUUCAGAGAGUUGGAGUAAUUGGCCUAAGGUCACUCAGCUCUUUAGUGGUACGGCUGUGAUGUGAACCCAGAUCCAUGCUCAUGUGAAGCACUUUUGUCGUCGUUCUGGUUCAAGAUGGCGACGUAGAAGGAUUCUGAACUCUCAUCCUCCCACGGACACAGGAUCUACAGCUACAUACAGAACAAUUCGCUGAAGGACUCCUACACGUGGGGCAAAGGAGAACCCACAUUGGAGCAGGUAGCGAGUUCCUACUUUCCACCAGGCCCUACAUUAGGGCUGGGGAUCCGGGAUAAGUUGGCCCUGUCCUGCCUUUGUAGACUAUCCACCUGGUUACGGGACUUCUCUGACACACAGCUGAUGACAAGUCUUAUGGGAGAGGAGCAGAAGGGCUGCCUCGAGGAAGAUGCAUUCCCGCUCCAGCAGAGACGGCUAAUGCUCACCCAUAUCUGGAGCUCCUUGUCUUCCCAAGUGUGCUGCUGGACUACAUUUCCCAGGCUCCCCCGCAGUUCAGCGUGGCACGUGACCCAGCUUGGUGACUGGAUGUGGGCUGCAGUGAUGGGUCCCACUUUGGAGCCCCCCAAACACUCCUUCAUACUCUCUUUACCCUGUGAACGGCUAGAAUAGAGAUGACCCCCAGGGCCACCUUGAGACCCACAUAUUGAAGAUUCCGCCUAGGUCCCAGAAGGACCAGGUAGAGUCGACACCCACUCAGAACUGUUACAGAAGUAAGAACUCUUUUUCUAGCAUAUUUGCUGGGUAUUUGUAACAUUCUAUGUGUAACAGUAGCUAGGGUGACCCUAACUGAUAAUCUGCCCUGAAAGACUGAUUUUCUUUAUUAUGUAACUUUUCCUCCUCACGACUCUAACAAUUUCCUUUGGCUCUAAAGUACUAAGUUACUAAUGCUAUUGUCCCAGUUUAAUUCUUUGUGUAACUGGAGAUGAUACUCCUGACCAGUGUUAUUUCCAAUUGAGGAAUUCUUAUUAAUUCAGUCUCUGCUUUCAUGCAUUUGUU